UUUUUGGUACUUCCGGAAAGACCGACAGAGGAGAGAGAGGAGCGGAGAGCGAAUGGCGCGGAGCUAAGCUAGCGGCACGCACGGUGAGUGGGAAGAGACGCCACCGCCAUCCACGGGACACACUUCGCCGGGUCGCCAACGGGUCGGCGGCGGAGGACGCUACGCUGCUGCCCAGGUGGACGGAGGAGUUUGACGCGGAGCGCUGGUCCUGGUCCUGGUCCUGGUCCUGGUCCUGGUCCUGGUCCGGGUGAUAGCAUCGUCACACAGAGGUGCGGUUAGCCAAACGUCCCCUUAAUGAGCUCCGACUAAGCGCGCCAACGAGAACUCCAGUUAAAAGUGCACCAACAGGGUCAGUGCUUAAAUAUGUGCAAGGAGGAACUCAAGGCCAGGAGGAAGAUUUAGAUAAUCAACCAUCCACCAGCUGGUCUGUGGACUCUGCAACAGCUCCCAGCCCUGACCAGCAACAACCAUCAACUACCAGUUCAGCACCAGAUCAGCUGUCAGAGGCGAGCCGGGAAGAGCGUCGGAGUGGACCGAUGUGUUGAGCUCGGGGAACAGUGUACAUGUUGUGGACUGUCUUCAGCCCCCCCAGUCCUGCGUCGUCUGUGUCCUCGGUACCAUCAGUUACAGCUCAGUACAGUUAGGAUAAGAUACGGCCUUCAUUAUUUAGAAUUCUGUUACUGAACCCAGAGUGUAUUCUGGAGACAGUGUGAAGAUGUUUCUACUUUACUAAAAUCCCACUUUAAAAAUGCUGCAUUUAUUGACUGUGUGCUUUGAAUGUUGUUUCCAGCACUGACCCAUCACUGUUUUAUCUGCCAUGUCUUCACUGCCAGCAGAUGGCGCUGGUCUGCAACCUGCGGGGGAAAAAAAGUCUUCAAUUUCAAGAAAGUCAAAAGUCACCCGUUACUGCCUGAGCCAAUGUCUGGCUAAAAUGUACCUAAAACCACUUCCCAAGAUGGUUUUAAGAAGAGUUUUAUCUCAGACUCUAUGGUUGCAUUUCCACUUU